rnacentral:lncRNA from 10 species
CCAAGAAAAAGCUGCCCAUUUGGGGAUCUGGUUAGCAGAGCUGCCAAGGAGAAAGAAGUGGGUUGUGUUGAUUUACUUAUUCAUUUAUUCCUUUUUUUUACAUUUUCAUUUUUUAGUUAAAAUAAAACAUUUAUAUACAGUGAAAUGGACAGAUCUUAAGUGAACGGUCUGAUAAGGAUAAGUUUGGACAUAGGCAGGCACCUGUGUAACCCACCCCUGCGACAAGUUACAGAACAAUAUCAUCAUCCUAGAAAGCCUCCCUGUGCCCCUUCCCAGUCGGUCCCCGCCGCAGCUCUCAGAGCUUCUUACCAGGAAAUCUGCAUUUGCUGGACGUGUGUGCCCUUGUCCUUCUCUCCUGCCCCUUGGAGGACGUUUCUGUGCUUCAUAUUGAAAGCCAGUCCUGUGGCCAGGCACGGUGGCUGACGCCUGUAAUCCCAGCACUUUGGGAGGCCGAGGCGGGUGGAUCACUUGAGGCCAGGAGUUCGAGAUCCAGCCUGGCUAAUAUGGUGAAAACCUGUCUCUACUAAAAAUACAAAAAUUAACCGGGCGUGGUGGCGGGUGCCUGUAAUUCCAGCUACUUGGGAGGCUGAGGCAGGAGGAUCGCUGGAGCCUGGG